GUGAUCAUUGAUCUUGAACGCACCUUGCGCCCCUUGGCAUUCCGAGGGGCACACCCGUUUGAGUGUCGUGAAAUCCUCAACCUUCUUUGUUUCUUUGAACCAAGAAGGCUUGGAAUUUGGAGGCUUCUGCUGGCCUCUUUCUUGAAGCCAGCUCCUCUUAAAUGGAUUAGCAGGUUCUGCUUAGCCAGAUCUCUUGACGUGAUAAGCCAUUUCUACGUCCUGGGUUGGGCUCUGUCUCUUGCUUACAAUUGUCUCUUUUAGAGACAUACAAUACACCCUUGACCUCAAAUCGGGUGAGACUACCCGCUGAACUUAAGCAUAUCA
rnacentral:rRNA from 1 species